rnacentral:lncRNA from 10 species
AAGAAGAGGUCACGUUAGCACACAGCAAGAAGAACAUAUUCCAUAAUUGCUUCCAAGAUGUGAAGAUUUUCACUCUGGCUUCACCGUAUUUUUAAAAUCUUUGAAUUUAGCCUUGGUCCAUAUACUUGGCAAAGAAUAAUUUCUAUAUUUCUCAUGCAUGGAGGGAGAAAAGGGCAUAGAGGAGCUGGCUGCACUCUGAUCUUCACUGGAAGCUUUCCCUGCUUAGACAAGCAAAGGAGGGAGAAAAUAUCUUGUUUCACUGGCUCAUAUUGAUUUCCUGGUCAUGUCUGAUACCUGCCUGUGGAUAGACUUAAUGGCUGCAGAUAAAUGAGGCUCAGCUAGCAGAAGGGAGGCUGCAAAAAAUCACCUGAAAAUGCUUUGCUUGUGUGGGUCUAAUACAAAAUUUAAAAAAAUGCAGCUUUUUGAGUUGCAACUUACCAUGACCCAGCCAGGCAAGGCACUGGGGAGAACUUAAAUUAUGGUCACAGGACUCCUGAUUUGUGGAUAAAAGACUGAGGAUCACGUGUAGUGAGGGGCAGAAACAAGAUUCUGCAACUGCUAUUACACGGAGUGAACUGCAAAUUGAGGGGACACUCCACAGAGCUGCUUUGCCAUUUUUUUGAUGGGACCAGGAUGCCAUUUAGUGUCUCUAUACAAGAGAGGCAAAAGGGAGAUGACACACACCUGAAGCAGGAUGCCACGUAAAGGUGAAGGAAGGGUUUGGAGCGAUGCAGCCACAGCCGGGGAAUGCCACACCAGCAGCCACCAGAAGCUGGAAGAGGCAAGGAUCAGCUUCUCCCUUUGAGCCCCUAGAACAGGGGUGUCCAAACUUUUGGCUUCCCUGGGCCACAUUGGAAGAAGAAUUGUCUUGGGCCACACAUAAAAUACACUAACAUUAAUGAUAGCUGAUGUGCUUAAAAAAAAAUCGCAGAAAAGUCUCGUUAUGUUUUAAGAAAGUUUACAAAUUUGUGUUGGGCCGCAUUCAAAGAUGUUCUGGGCUGCAUUUGGCCCAAGGGCCACAGUUUGGACAAGCUUGCCCUAGAAUGAGGGCAGCCGUGCCAACACCUGGAUUCCAACCCAGUGAAAUGGGUUUUGGACUUCUGGUUCCUAGAACUAAGAAAUAAUAAAUUUCUGUUUUAAGCCA